rnacentral:rRNA from 1 species
GACGAACGCUGGCGGCGCGCUUAACACAUGCAAGUCGUGCGGUACCGAUGGCAAGUCUUCUUGACGAGCCUUCGGUAUAGCGGCGGACGGGUGAGUAACACGUGAGUAGCUGUCCUAGGGAGGGGGAUAACGCCUGGAAACGGGUGCUAAAAACCCCAUAAGCCUCGAAAGAGGUAAAAGUGCAUCACUGCAGUCCUAGGGUGUGCUCGCGGCCUAUCAGCUAGUUGGUGAGGUAAGGGCUCACCAAGGCCAAGACGGGUAGCCGGCCUGAGAGGGUGACCGGCCACACUGGAACUGAGACACGGUCCAGACUCCUACGGGAGGCAGCAGUGGGGAAUAUUGCACAAUGGGCGAAAGCCUGAUGCAGCGACGCCGCGUGAGCGAAGAAGGCCUUCGGGUCGUAAAGCUCUGUCCUAUGGGACGAUAAUGACGGUACCAUAGGAGGAAGCCCCGGCUAACGUACGUG